rnacentral:rRNA from 1 species
CAACUUUCAACAACGGAUCUCUUGGCUCUCGCAUCGAUGAAGAACGCAGCGAAAUGCGAUAAGUAAUGUGAAUUGCAGAAUUCAGUGAAUCAUCGAAUCUUUGAACGCACCUUGCGCCCUCUGGUAUUCCGGAGGGCAUGCCUGUUUGAGUGUCAUUU